rnacentral:rRNA from 1 species
UACGGAGGGUGCAAGCGUUAAUCGGAAUUACUGGGCGUAAAGCGCACGCAGGUGGCUGAGUCAGUCGAUUGUGAAAGCCCUGGGCUUAACCUGGGAAUUGCAGUCGAUACUACUUAGCUAGAGUAUGGGAGAGGGUAGUGGAAUUCCCGGUGUAGCGGUGAAAUGCGUAGAUAUCGGGAGGAACAUCAGUGGCGAAGGCGGCUACCUGGCCCAAUACUGACACUCAGGUGCGACAGCGUGGGGAGCAAACAGG